GUAACUCCAAGCAUAGCUUUCUUCAUCGCCCGCCCAGUGACUCUAAGCUUUUUUAUUAUGCUUCUUUUUACGUC